GUCAGAACUGAACCCUUCCAGAUGUGUCCUGAGAGGGGCAAGUGCCACGGAUCAGGAUCCUCAUCUCAGAGCAGUUUCUGGCAGACAGCCAGAGCAUCAAAGUCUUGGAGCUUCAAGGGACCUCAAAGACCAUCUUGUCCAAUCCCCUCAUUUCACAGAUGAGGAAACUGAGACCCAGGCCAGGGAAGCUGUGUGUGAGGUCAGACACCUAAGAUGGGGAAGGGAAGACCACCCUGGAAAACUCAUACUCUAAGGUAGGGAGGAGUGCCAUCUACCUUAUGCCAUAGUAGGAAAUUUCUCCUGUCAUGUAAAUGCCCUUUUAAUUCCCAUCAUCCUACUCAGUGAAUACUGUUUGGCUCAAGAGGGUGGGUGAUGUGGUCUAUGAAUUUAAGCUGUCUACUUCUGCCUAAAGUUUAAUAGAAAAGCCUCUUGCCCACAUGACAU
rnacentral:lncRNA from 1 species